AUUUAAUAUGUACUGUUAGGUGCUGUUAUUUUAGAAGACAUUUAAAUAACAGUUAAAAGGAAAAGUGUAAAAAACACUGCAGCCCACCGUUACUGUAUGGAGGAUGAAACCUUAUUUAUGUCACUGGUGAAAUAGAGCCGGGAAGACGAGGAAGUAAGAUGAACCUUAGCCAGGAAGCCUGCCUGAUAUGUUGUUAAUUCU
rnacentral:ncRNA from 1 species